GAUGAACGCUAGCGGCAGGCUUAAUACAUGCAAGUCGAGGGGCAGCGCAGUGUAGCAAUACAUGGGCGGCGACCGGCAAACGGGUGCGGAACACGUACACAACCUUCCUACAAGUGGGGAAUAGCCCAGAGAAAUUUGGAUUAAUACCCCGUAACAUAGCGAUGUGGCAUCACAUUGCUAUUAUAGCUUCGGCGCUUGUUGAUGGGUGUGCGGCUGAUUAGAUAGUUGGCGGGGUAACGGCCCACCAAGUCUACGAUCAGUAGCUGAUGUGAGAGCAUGAUCAGCCACACGGGCACUGAGACACGGGCCCGACUCCUACGGGAGGCGGCAGUAAGGAAUAUUGGACAAUGGACGCAAGUCUGAUCCAGCCAUGCCGCGUGAAGGAUUAAGGUCCUCUGGAUUGUAAACUUCUUUUAUAAGGGACGAAAAAAGGUCUUUCUAGAUCGUCUGACGGUACCUUAUGAAUAAGCACCGGCUAACUCCGUGCCAGCAGCCGCAGUAAAAC
rnacentral:rRNA from 1 species